AUUACAGUGGUAGAGAUCCAAACAAGGUUGCAAAUAUUUUUCUUUUUUCCCUUUAAAGUAAAUAUUUAUGUACCAUACACAUCUCUGUAUGAUUCUCAUUUUGGAACGUGGCACGUGCUUUUGUUUGUGGGAGUGAUCAUUCUAAUAUCUUCAACUUGGCCGUCUCAAUGCUGAUAGGUUGAACAAUGUGGGCAGUUGCAUUAACAGCGAAGCUGGCUAUGGAUCGACUGCGAUGGCAAAAUUGCUACUUUAUCCUCCCUCUUUUUAUAUCUAGGUGACAUUUAUACGACAAAAAUUUUGAUCUGAUUACUGUACGUCUUCGUUGUUUGUACAUAGCAGUAACAUUUAUUCAAGUCUUGAAUAAAAUUUGAGCCUCUGCUUUUGGUCUUGCA